UGUGUUUUAAUGCAAAGGCCACACCUUGGAACUUACAGCAAAAAGCAGAGCUCGAUCAACCUACCAGAUCAAACUGCUCUGUUCUCCGUCCUAGCCUCUGCUCCUGGUAUUGGACAACUGCUGAGGAUACAUUGUUUGAUGUAGUUCUCAUAUGCCAGUGACAAGAGCAAGUUGUGCUUAUGAAGACUUAGGACAGUGUUUGGAGCUAAAUUAAAGCAAGGGAAGCCCCUCGGAGCUGAGUACGUGUAAAAGAAGAAAGAAAAGAAGAGAAAAAAGGCUGAUUCACUCUAGCGCGACCUUAGCGCGACCGCGCUAGAGCAGGAAAUCGAGGCAGAACACUCAGCGAUAUGGGCGGCCACUAGCGCGGUUCGAGCGCGGCCGCGCUAGUCAAAUCUGGAGCGCAGUAGUUCAGGGGUAAACUUGGAAGUUUGGGGGUAAUUCCACUUAACCUAUAAAAGGUCCCGCUCGCCCAAAAAGACAUUAUCAAGGUUUUUAUAGAUUUUUGUGAAGGCAAGAAGAGGCAAGAUGCAAGGAGGAUAAUUCGACAUUGAGUUCUACCUUUCUUCCUUUUGUAUUUAUCAUUCAUGUUGAAUUUUGCUGUUAUUAUGAACAUGAUUAUGAGUAGCUAAUUAUUUAGUCUAGGGUUUUGAUGGAACCUGUUGAGGAUGAACUUCUUGUUGUGUUAA